rnacentral:rRNA from 1 species
GUCUACGGCCAUGCCACCCUGAACAAGCCCAAUCCCGUCUGAUCUCGGAAGCUAAGCAGGGUUGGGCCUGGUUAGUACUUGGAUGGAGACCACCUAGGAAGACCUGCUGUUCUGUAGGCA